AUCGCUUCUCGGCCUUUUGGCUAAGAUCAAGUGUAGAAUUCUUUUUUUUUUUUUUUUUUUUUUGAGACAGAGCCUCAAGCGAGUCUCUUGCCUCCACCUCCCAAGUAGCUGGGACCACAG
rnacentral:snRNA from 1 species